GAGCUGUUGAACUGCUUCAUCAGGCGGAAGCUUGUGUCUCCGGAUACUUUCAUAUGCAGGUCCUCAGCUAGGGUCCCGAUGACCGUGCCAGGAGCGUCCUCCUCGAAGGGCUGCUCAGAGAAGCAACACUCAUCCCGUUCCAGAAGAACAAAAUCACAGCAUGACGUUGAAACCUGGCACUAACCUGGGGGAACUUAACCAUCUGCCUACAAACGUGUGGAGCUUUGGUAUUGCCAAACUCUGGGCUGGGUGGGUCCCCGGACUGGCCAGGCUUUGCGGUGCCCCCCUCCCCUCACAGGUAUUUCCCUCACCCCCACAAUCCAAAGACCCAGGGAGGUGGAGCUCCAAGCAGGAGUAAGACGAAUUCUUAUUGAAGAGCUUUAUUGAACAGGUUAUGCAAAUACGUAUGAAGGAGGAGAGAUAAAAGCAAAAGCCACGCACUGCAAGAAAAAAAUUUUUUAAGGCGAUGGAUUUGAUAAGCAGACUGUAUUUAGUAAAUAUUCUUCUGAAUCCAGAUUUUA